rnacentral:misc_RNA from 1 species
GAUGAAGAACGUAGCGAAAUGCGAUAAGUAAUGUGAAUUGCAGAAUUCAGUGAAUCAUCGAAUCUUUGAACGCACAUUGCGCCCUCUGGUAUUCCGGGGGGCAUGCCUGUUCGAGCGUCAUUUCAACCAUCAAGCCCUGCUUGUGUUGGGGUCCUGCGGCUGCCCGCAGGCCCUGAAAACCAGUGGCGGGCUCGCUAGUCACACCGAGCGCUGUAGCACAUCUCGCUCAGGGCGUGCGGCGGGCUCCAGCCGUUAAAGCACCCACCUUUCGCAAGGUUGACCUCGGAUCAGGUAGGAAUACCCGCUGAACUUAAGCAUAUCAAUAAGCGGAGGA